rnacentral:rRNA from 1 species
CCUACGGGAGGCAGCAGUGGGGAAUAUUGCACAAUGGGGGAAACCCUGAUGCAGCGACGCCGCGUGAGUGAAGAAGUAAUUCGUUAUGUAAAGCUCUAUCAGCAGGGAAGAAAAUGACGGUACCUGAGUAAGAAGCCCCGGCUAACUACGUGCCAGCAGCCGCGGUAAUAAGUAGGGGGCAAGCGUUAUCCGGAUUUACUGGGUGUAAAGGGAGCGUAUACGGCAGUGCAAGUCUGGAGUGAAAGGCGGGGGCUCAACCCCCGGACUGCUCUGGAAACUGUACGGCUGGAGUGCAGGAGAGGUAAGUGGAAUUCCUAGUGUAGCGGUGAAAUGCGUAGAUAUUAGGAGGAACACCAGUGGCGAAGGCGGCUUACUGGACUGUAACUGACGUUGAGGCUCGAAAGCGUGGGGAGCAAACAGGAUUAGAUACCCGAGUAGUC